UACCUUUCUUCCAAAUUCUCACAAAGCAUGAAACCCUCGUAGGGUUUCUUCUCCUUCUUCACGCAAACAACAACAACAGCCUCCUUUUCGCACCUUCCCAAGUUAACUACGGUGCCACCUCCAUUGUUGUUAGGUCCCUCAUCAUUGUCGCACCUCUCCCGGCUGGCCAAGGUCAUCGUUGGCGACAUCGCUCACUGUCGUAGUCUCUAACCUAGGUUUUCAUGUGGGAUGCUGGCGAUGCUCAACGAGCCCCAUCUCUCGCUUAAGCUUCACGUGCACUCCAACCUCAACAAAUUGGUCGACACCUUCUGGCCGAGAUCUCCACUAGUCGGCCUAAGAUAGUGGAGACAAUUUGUGUGCAGUUGUGAUUUGCUUCCAGCACCAACCUCCUCGCAACUUGGUGGCCCCUUGGUCUAGAGUGCACUGGAGCUUCUCUGCUUAAGGUUUGAAGGAGUUGCAGAGUUUCCUUGAGAACUUGGGUGGUGUUAUGAUUAUGUCAUUGGCAUAAUUUAUAUUAAGUUUGUAUUGGCAGAGAGGAAAAGAGAAAAGAGAUUGAAUCAUUUUGUUGGUUUGGUUUGAGAGUUAACGUGGAGUGUAAUUUGGCAAAGAGGAAAAGAAAAAAGAGAUUGGGUCAAAAUUGGGUGAUUACUAGUAUAAAAGAUCUUGUGGAACUGUGUAUAUCAUGCUUUGUAGUAUGGAUUGAUUGCCAUCAAACUUGAAAAAGGUCUUCCACCCAAUAAUUAUAUGUGCAACAUUUGCAGAGCUAUCAGCAAUUGCUUUGGAGUUCCUUUCUAAGUCAGGACUUGAUUUUGUUUUAGGUGUAAAUUAUAGUUUAAGUUAAUAUUCAACUCUAUAUUAUACAAGGACCUGUUUGUUUUAGAUUUAAAUUAUUGUAAAAGUUAAAUUUGAGUGUUAUGAGAUAUUAAUAUUAAGUAGUUGUAUUUAUUUCUUUGAACUCUCUUUAUAGAGUAUUCAAAUAAAAUUUUCAUGUUUUAA